AAGACCUUGCGCUUUUGGAGCGGCCGAUGUCUGAUUAGCUUGUUGGUGAGGUAAAGGCUUACCAAGGCUUCGAUCAGUAGCUGGUCUGAGAGGACGGCCAGCCACACUGGGACUGAGACACGGCCCAGACUCCUACGGGAGGCAGCAGUGGGGAAUUUUGGACGAUGGGGGCAACCCUGAUCCAGCCAUGCCGCGUGAGUGAAGAAGGCCUUCGGGUUGUAAAGCUCUUUCAGCCGGAACGAAACGGUUACGGUUAAUACCCGUGACUACUGACGGUACCGGAAGAAGAAGCACCGGCUAACUACGUGCCAGCAGCCGCGGUAAUACGUAGGGUGCAAGCGUUAAUCGGAAUUACUGGGCGUAAAGCGUGCGCAGGUGGUUUUGUAAGUCAGAUGUGAAAUCCCCGGGCUUAACCUGGGAACU
rnacentral:rRNA from 1 species